rnacentral:misc_RNA from 1 species
GAUGAAGAACGUAGCGAAAUGCGAUAAGUAAUGUGAAUUGCAGAAUUCAGUGAAUCAUCGAAUCUUUGAACGCACAUUGCGCCCGCCAGUAUUCUGGCGGGCAUGCCUGUUCGAGCGUCAUUACAACCCUCAGGCCCCCGGGCCUGGCGUUGGGGAUCGGCGGAAGCCCCCUGCGGGCACAACGCCGUCCCCCAAAUACAGUGGCGGUCCCGCCGCAGCUUCCAUUGCGUAGUAGCUAACACCUCGCUACUGGAGAGCGGCGCGGCCACGCCGUAAAACACCCAACUUCUGAAUGUUGACCUCGAAUCAGGUAGGAAUACCCGCUGAACUUAAGCAUAUCAAUAAGCGGAGGA